UAGAUGGUAGCUUAAGUAAUAAAGCCUUGGACUGUUAAUCCAAAGAUGCAAUGAAUUGCCUAUUUAG
rnacentral:tRNA from 1 species